ensembl:miRNA
CUGGGAUUACAGGCGUGAACCACCGCGCCCAGCCCUCUCUUUUAUAAUAAAUUCUCACCUGGGUGUGGGGGCUCACGCCUGUAAUCCCAGC